GAAAUGCGAUAAGUAAUGUGAAUUGCAGAAUUCAGUGAAUCAUCGAAUCUUUGAGCGCACCUUGCGCUCCUUGGUAUUCCUUGGAGCAUGCCUGUUUGAGUAUCAUGAAAUCUUCAAAGUAAAUCUUUUGUUAACUCAAUUGGUUUCUACUUUGGUAUUGGAGGUCUUUGCAGCUUCACACCUGCUCCUCUUUGUUCAUUAGCUGGAUCUCAGUGUUAUGCUUGGUUCCACUCGGCGUGAUAAGUUAUCUAUCGCUGAGGACACUGUAAAAGGUGGCCAAGGUAAAUGCAGAUGAACCGCUUCUAAUAGUCCAUUGACUUGGACAAUACUUUUAUGAUCUGAUCUCAAAUCAGGUAGGACUACCCGCUGAACUUAAGC
rnacentral:misc_RNA from 1 species